CUCCCCUCAAGAUCACACCUGGAGAGCUUCCAGGACUCUACCAGUCUUGGCUAUGGGAGGAAGAGUCAAGUAGAGGCAUACCCAUUCCAUUCUUAGCUUGGGUAGUGGCUAGUAAAGGGAAGACAAUCUGCUACAAGU